rnacentral:rRNA from 1 species
UACGAAGGGGGCUAGCGUUGCUCGGAAUCACUGGGCGUAAAGGGUGCGUAGGCGGGUCUUUAAGUCAGGGGUGAAAUCCUGGAGCUCAACUCCAGAACUGCCUUUGAUACUGGAGAGCUUGAGUCCGGGAGAGGUGAGUGGAACUGCGAGUGUAGAGGUGAAAUUCGUAGAUAUUCGCAAGAACACCAGUGGCGAAGGCGGCUCACUGGUCCGGUACUGACGCUGAGGUGCGAAAGCGUGGGGAGCCAAACAGG